UCGUCGAGACGCCGCUGCCACUUCUCUCCCUUCUCUUCUCGUAACUGCCCGCCAGACAGGCAGCCCGCGAAAGAAUGCGCUUUUGAAACUUUGCCAACCAAUAGCGGAGCACGCAAUGUCCUUCGGCCAAUGGGUAUCAACUAUGAUGCCUGACGGAGCCGCGAAGAGGGGGAGCUAUGGGGGCCGGGUAACGCCUUACCAGCCUUCCACAUAAGCCGGGAUCCCGUAAGUGUCCCUCCGGACCCCGCCAGGUUGCCGAUGGAUAUCCAACUCUUCAAGUGAACAUCACUGGAAGUCCAGAGUAAGGUGAGCCAUGGGACCGGCGUGGGAACAUCGACGACGAUCGUAACUGAAGUGUUCGGCGGAGCCAGGGCACGAUGAGCGCAGGGUGCAAAGACUGACACGUGAUCUACCUGGGGCUUGAAAGAAGUACUGAAGAAAAAGCAAGUACUCGUUCAACCACCCGUCAACACGUGCCAACACAGCGAGGGCUCCCAGGGAGGUCACAUUCUUGCACACGGUUGUAACGCGCAAUAAGAUACCCUGCACAUGUUGUGCUGCCCAAGUUGUUCAAGAUGUUGUCGUGGCUCUUUGCUUUGUUGUACGG